rnacentral:rRNA from 1 species
CCUACGGGGGGCUGCAGUCGAGAAUAAUUCACAAUGGGGGAAACCCUGAUGGAGCGACGCCGCGUGGGGGAAUGAAGGUCUUCGGAUUGUAAACCCCUGUCAUGGGGGAGCAAAUUAAAAAGAUAGUACCACAAGAGGAAGAGACGGCUAACUCUGUGCCAGCAGCCGCGGUAAUACAGAGGUCUCAAGCGUUGUUCGGAAUCACUGGGCGUAAAGCGUGCGUAGGCUGUUUCGUAAGUCGUGUGUGAAAGGCGCGGGCUCAACCCGCGGACGGCACAUGAUACUGGGAGACUAGAGUAAUGGAGGGGGAACCGGAAUUCUCGGUGUAGCAGUGAAAUGCGUAGAUAUCGGGAGGAACACUCGUGGCGAAGGCGGGUUCCUGGACAUUAACUGACGCUGAGGCACGAAGGCCAGGGGAGCGAAAAGGAUUAGAUACCCCAGUAGUC